rnacentral:rRNA from 1 species
AUACGUAGGUCCCAAGCGUUGCGCGAUCUCACUGGGCGUAAAGCGUCCCCAGCCGGUCCGGUAAGCGGAUUGUCAAAACCCGCGGCUCAACCGCGGUAGGGCAACCCGAACUGCCGGACUUGAGGCAAGCCCAGGCAGGCGGAAUUCCCGGUGUUGCGGUGAAAUGCGUAGAUACCGGGAGGAACACCAAAGGGGAAGCCAGCCUGCUGGGGCUGCCCUGACGGUCACGGACGAAAGCUGGGGGAGCAAACCGGAUUAGAAACCCUAGUAGUCC